AAUACGAGUGGGUGGAUUAACGACUCAGUGGACAUGUAUGACCAACUUUCAUUUUUGAUUCCCAGUGGAAAUAUCGAUGUUUACUCGCACUUAUUCAAAACGGACCUAAGGAUUUUACGCACAACGGAUUAUAUAGUUUCUGGGACGUGGAGGUAUAACUUCAUCGCGGUGGGAACAGUAGAUGGAUGCUGUACUCCAGCUGUGGUCUUGGUGGAUACAUCGGGAUGUCCCGUUCCAACACUUGCCCGUUUGUGCACUCAGGUCCAACUGCUGGACGUGCACAAUACGUGACGCGUGCCACUGUCACAUAUGACCCAUUUCGUGAGGUCCUCAGUUCAUUUUGGCCCAAUGACGAAUAACAUCCUUGGAUAUAGUCUAUUUGAGAAAUCUGUCCCUCGUAGUGGAUAAUGACACUUUUACCGCACGGGAUUAUCAUGGCCAGUCAGUGAGGGCAAAUUUCCAGGAAAGAGGUGUCGCCCUGUGACUGACUUCUGAGUAUACAAAGAUGGCCUGCCUUCGCCGCAAAGAUGCUGAUUGAACCAAAAUCACUUAAUAGGAGCAUUUGAAAUCAAGUUUGGACUCUGAAGAUCCAGAUGUUGGUGCCUGGCAUGAUGGCUUACAGAUGCAGCUCUGACAUCUCACGAUCUGACCGGGAGGAUAGAGCUCAAGCACUAUGGACUUAAAGAUACAUUUCUAUAACAUUCUAUAACUUUUCUGGACAACACAAGAUUCAUUUUACUGGACAAAGAAACAUAUGGUCCCUGUGCAUGUUUACAAGUAUAACACUGGCUACACAUGGUUUAUAAAUAAAACUGACUCUGUUUCUGUUUUUCUUUUCAAACUGUAACAUAAAUAUUCAUAUUUUGGAUAACACUGAAUAAUGAAAAUAUUGUGUUAUUAUGUGCCGAAAUCUUGGACAAGAAAUGCUACUAACUAAAAAGCUGUAUCCAUGAACUUAAAUAGGAUGCAGUUACAAAGUGAAAAUACUUUUUCAGUUUUCCCUAAAAUAUUUAUAUUGUUUUAGACUUAAAUGAUUUCCUUAUCUUAACAUCCUAACUUCCUAACAAAAAUCUAAGUUUAUUAAAUAGCUCUUUGCUCAAAGUAGCCUAGUUUUAAAGCAUUGUUUUGUAUUUUUGAAAAUGGGAUCUUAGUUACAGUAAAACUCAUGUCAUUGUUCGAACUUGUUUUCAUUACGAGAGAGAUCAUUGUCACCAAGUUUUAAUAAACCCAAAUCAGGGAACAGUAAAUGUAUUUCAUUAUGAGAAUUUGGCUUUGCAUCAGCAACUGUUGAAUGUCUGUCAGCAAAUGGAUUAAUAUUGUGAGUACUGCAUGAAUUCUGUUGUGUCUGUGAAAAUGCAUUAACAUAAAUAAAGAGAGUG